UACGGGGGGGGCAAGCGUUGUUCGGAAUUACUGGGCGUAAAGGGCGUGUAGGCGGUCAAGUAAGUGGGAUGUGAAAUCCCUCGGCUCACCCGAGGACCUGCAUCCCAAACUGCUUGGCUUGAGUAUGGGAGAGGAUGAGGGAAUUCCUGGUGUAGCGGUGAAAUGCGUAGAGAUCGGGAGGAAGGCCGGUGGCGAAGGCGGCGCUCUGGAACAUUUCUGACGCUGAGGCUCGAAAGCGUGGGGAGCAAACAGG
rnacentral:rRNA from 1 species